rnacentral:rRNA from 1 species
UCGAGCGAGGCUGGGUAGCAAUACCCAAGUCGAGCGGCGAACGGGUGAGUAACGCGUGGAUGACCUGCCCUUUAGUGGGGAACAACCAAGGGAAACUCUGGCUAAUACCGCAUAAGACCGAAAGGUGAAAGCGUGCCGCAAGGCUCGCGCUGAAGGAGGGGUCCGCGUCCGAUUAGCUAGUUGGUAGGGUAAUGGCCUACCAAGGCGACGAUCGGUAGCCGGCCUGAGAGGGUGAUCGGCCACACUGGAACUGAGACACGGUCCAGACUCCUACGGGAGGCAGCAGUGGGGAAUUUUGCGCAAUGGGCGAAAGCCUGACGCAGCAACGCCGCGUGGAGGAUGAAGGUCUUUGGAUUGUAAACUCCUGUCAGCGGGGAAAAAGGGACUCGGGUGAAUAGCCCGGGGACUUGAUUGUACCCGCAGAGGAAGCCCCGGCUAACUCUGUGCCAGCAGCCGCGGUAAUACAGAGGGGGCAAGCGUUA